rnacentral:lncRNA from 10 species
UCUUCUCAGUCUGCAGCCCACCAAAUGAGUGCUCCGAGCUUACUCUCUGCUCCUGUCCAACACCGCUCGUCCCAGGGUGGCCCAGCCCCAGGCCCCUCCCCACACAUUCCCGCACACCCACCCCAGUCCUCUUCAUCCUCUUACUCUACCCCAGUGGCCUCUAGGUGCUUGAACUGGGCAAGAAGAAGUCAGGCCUAGCACUCCAGGUACCAAGCCAGCAUGGUAAGCUGAAUGUAGCCACCAACAGCCUCUGGCAGGGAAAGUCUUGAGGCUGACAGAAUUCUCCAGGCACUGGUCCAGACAGGAGCCCAGAAUGAGGAGAUGGCGCUGGGACAGCAAGAAGACACUCACCAGAUGCAGUCCCUCAACCUUGGACUUUCCAGCCUCCAGAACUGAGCUGGAGAUUUCCCACAUGUGCCCCUCAGGGUCCUGGUCUGCGAGGACCACAUCUGGGUCCAAUCCAGGGUAUUAGGACUGCUGACCUCCUGUCAUUCUCCUUCGCUGAUGGGCUGCCAGAAACCUCAUCCACGAGGGAGUUCACAUCUAAGCCAAUUUGAAACAAUCUUACGAGAUUUCUUGGGCCCAAAUCUCAAAUACAGCCUAUCUCAUCUGCUCACCCCGCUCUCUCAUCUCGUAAUUCCAUCCAUCACAUCAUCAAGUCGGUGGGUCACAGCUGUCAGUAGACAAUUUCAUAUGGUCUUCCUCGAGCUGUUUCUCUUUGACUCUCCUUCCCUUUGACACGGAUUUAGCAUAAUCUGUCUGGCUUUCAACUCCAGAUACUGUUACCUCUUUCGUUUGUUGUUGUUUAGGUUGAGGGUAAGAUGUGGAAGGGCACAGGUGUGCACAAAAGGAAGGGAGUUCUCUUGGGGGCCAAGGUGGGCUGUGAGCUUCCGCAGAGGGCAGUAGGAAACAGGGUUAUCAGUAAGUCAGUACCAAGGAGAGAGGCAAAUGCCGACUACUAUGUGGGGAGUAGGAGGGAGUCAGAGGUAAGAACUAUGGAUCGUUGGGACAUUUAGGUUGUGUCGAUCAUGGAGGCCAAUCCCAUGUCACAGUGACGAAUGUCAUUGAAGGGUGGUAUCGGCUCAGUGGAGAGACGUAGGCCACUUGUACCUCUACAAUUAGAGUAAUUUUUUAAAAAAGGAACCCAGUAAUUUUGACCUAAAAUAUCAACUUGUAGAUUUACUUUUUUUUUUCGAGACAGGGUCUUGCUCUGUUGCCCAGGUUGGAGUGCAAUGGCAUGAUCUCAGCUCACUGCACCCUCAACCUCCCGGGUUUAAGCAAUCCCCCUGCCUCAGCCUCCUGAGUAGCUGGGAUUACAGGAGUGUGCCUCCACCCCUGGCUACUUUUUAUAUUUUUAGUAGACACAGGGUUUCACCAUGUUAGCCAGGCUGGUCUCGAACUCCUGACCUCAAGUGAUCUGCCCACCUAGGCCUCCCAAAGUGCUGAGAUUACAGGCAUGAGCCAUCGCACCCAGCCGUAGAUUUACUUUUUAUGCCACCCAUACACACGGAACACAAACCAUUCCCCACCCACAGUGGACUCCUGGAUUUCUCCCCUACUAUUUUUAAGUCAAUUUUAUUCUUACUUGUAUCUUUACAGAAAAUGGCACAGAAAUCACAGGUUUCGAAUACCUAGAAGUUAUUACAGUUCCAUAUUUCAA